ensembl:snoRNA
AUGCAUCUCUUUGACACACCUGGAACAGUUACUAUCUGCUACCAAGGUUUCCACUACAGAUACAAGAAAAAAGUGUCCUCACAAUUUCUAACUGAUUGUGACAGCCAAGAUUGAAUGGGGGAAUACAGGA